GACGAACGCUGGCGGCGUGCUUAACACAUGCAAGUCGUACGGUAAGGCCCUUUCGGGGGUACACGAGUGGCGAACGGGUGAGUAACACGUGAAUAACCUGCCCACAACUUUGGGAUAACGCUAGGAAACUGGUGCUAAUACUGGAUAUGUGCCCCUGCUGCAUGGUGGGGGUUGGAAAGCUCCGGCGGUUGUGGAUGGACUCGCGGCCUAUCAGCUUGUUGGUGGGGUAGUGGCCUACCAAGGCGGCGACGGGUAGCCGGCCUGAGAGGGUGACCGGCCACAUUGGGACUGAGAUACGGCCCAGACUCCUACGGGAGGCAGCAGUGGGGAAUAUUGCACAAUGGGCGCAAGCCUGAUGCAGCAACGCCGCGUGCAGGAUGACGGCCUUCGGGUUGUAAACCGCUUUCAGCAGGGACGAAGCUUUUUGUGACGGUACCUGCAGAAGAAGCACCGGCUAACUACGUG
rnacentral:rRNA from 1 species